ACGGAAGGCAGCAGUGGGGAAUAUUGCACAAUGGGGGAAACCCUGAUGCAGCGACGCCGCGUGAGUGAAGAAGUAUUUCGGUACGUAAAGCUCUAUCAGCAGGGAAGAUAAUGACGGUACCUGACUAAGAAGCCCCGGCUAACUACGUGCCAGCAGCCGCGGUAAUACGUAGGGGGCAGGCGUUAUCCGGAUUUACUGGGUGUAAAGGGAGUGUAGGUGGUCUCAAGUCAGAUGUGAAAGCCCGCGGCUCAACCGCGGGACUGCAUUUGAAACUGUCAGACUGGAGUGCAGGAGAGGAAAGUGGAAUUCCUAGUGUAGCGGUGAAAUGCGUAGAUAUUAGGAAGAACACCAGUGGCGAAGGCGGCUUUCUGGACUGUAACUGACACUGAGGCUCGAAAGCGUGGGGAGCAAACAGGAUUAGAUACCCUGGUA
rnacentral:rRNA from 1 species